rnacentral:lncRNA from 1 species
UCUCAGUAAUUUUGUUGUUUUUACUUACUUUUUGUUAAUGAAUUGUAUCCUACGGGUACUUAUAUUUCCUACUUUCUAAAAAAAAUCAUGUUAUCUGUUUUGUCACUCCAAAAAUAGUUAGGUGCUCAGAGUUGGAAAAAUAGUUUUAGUAUAUAUACAUGUAGCUCAUUGGUCUUAAAGUGUUUGCACCAUAAAUUUAGUAUUUUUUUUACUUCCAUUUAAAAAAAACACUUAAAAGCUGCUUAGUUUGGACAGAGAGCAAUAUUUAUUGUUAAAAUUCAUUGUAGUAUUUUCAUUGUAUUUAUUUUUUAACAAAAUGCUUUAUAUAAUGGAUCAACAGGUUUGAUGUAAAA